AAAAAAAAAAAAAAAAAAAAAAGGUGGUUUGAGAACAUAGGAGGCAGGACACAGAAGGGGUUAAAUACAGGAAGCCCUUUGUGGGUUUACUUUGUAUUCAUGCUAAGAGCAGAUGCAGGAUCUUUUUCCAGUUUCAGGCUGAGGAAGGCAUUUUUGUGUAUUCUUCUGAGUUAGAAGAUGAUCUUUGGCCUGAAUCAUACAAGCUAAAAUCAACUGGAGUUUUCAGGGGCUAAAAGAUUUUAAACGGAGAUAUUCUGCAACUAACAGUUAUAGACUUCUUUUUGAAGCAGAAUUUAAUGAAGGUUUAAUGAAGCAACACAAAGAGAAAGAGAAAUCACCUCAACUACCUGCCCUCCUCAGCCCUGGCUGCAUCUCCUACCUGUGGCACGACGGCUUCUCUGAAGCUAAGCCUAUGAAUAGAGGAUUUUUUGGAAAUGAGAAGAAAGUAUAAGCUUUCUAUUUAGUGAUGUAACUUAGCUUUGCGUGGACCUGCUGAGAAUGGAAUCUCAAGACGGCACCAAGGGUUUGGAGGCUGGGAAGUCCAAGAUCAAGCCAGUGACACAUACAGUGUCUGGGGAGAGCCUGCUUCUUGGUUCACAGGCUGGCCAUCUUCUCACUGUGUCCUUACAUGGUGGAAGAGACAAGAAAAUUCUCUGGAGUGCCACUUAUAGAAUCACCUUAGAGAAGGGCACUAACCCCAUUCAGGAAGGCUGUGAUCUCAUGAUCUAAUCAUCUUCUGAUAUGGUUUGGAUCUGUGUCCUUGCCCAAAUCUCAUGUGGAAUUGUAAUCCCCAGUGUUGGAGGUGGGACCUGUUGGAAGGUGACUGGGUCAUGGGGGCAGAAUUCUCAUGAUGGUUUUAUACCAUCCCUGUUGGUGCUGUUCUCCUGAUAGUGAGCGAGUUCUCAUGAAAUACGGUUGUUUAAAAGUGUGUAGCAUCCCCUCUGCCUCUUGUUCCUGCUGCCAACAUGUAAGACGUGCCUGCUUCCCCUUUGCCUUCCACUAUGAUUGUAAGUUUCCUGAGGCCUCCCUAGAAUCACAAGUUGCUAUGCUUCCUGUAGAACCUGCAGAUUUGUGAGCAAAUUGAACUUCUUUUCUUUAUAAA